GCCCGUUUCUCCGCGCUGCAGCCCGGCUCGCCCGCAUCCUCCGCCACCCCGAGCCCCACGUGGACGAUGGAAGAUGGAAGAGAGAAACGCCAUGCACAUUAAGGGCAGCAAGAUCUUCAAAGAAAAGCUACUGUACAUACAGUCUUUCGUCCCAGUAUAAGAAGUCAAGUAAACAUGGAUCUCAGGAGCAGCAAAGUGGUUCCUGGAAAUAUCUUUCAUUUGAAAACCAAAAUGAUUUUUCUACCAAAAAGGCUACUUCAGCACUUACAACAAUAACAACAACUAAAGUCAGACACUCAAGGCAACUCUUCUAAAACCGUCAAUCAGUUUGUGGUGACAGCUGAGCUGGGGGACACCUAAUCUCGGGUCGCAUCCUGUAACUCACCUUUAUUUCAUCGUAUUUUAACUCAGCUCCUGGUGGAUUCAGCAUCAUGAAGUCAGAGGAGGAGGGAAUAGGGCAAUUUAUUCAUGCUUUCACUGGAGUUCCAAUGCAUACAGGAAAUUUCUCUAAAAAUGCAAAUCACUUGGUGCCACACAAGUGUGGCUUGCCAGCUGAAGCACUCAGAGGGAAGGGCUGUCCCAGGGCUAAUGUUUUUAUGCUCUGUGAUUGAAUAAAUCGACCCACUUAUUACACCA